CCUGGUGGUUUUUGCGGGGAGCCCAGAACCCGUUCCCAUCCCGAACACGGCCGUUAAACUCCCCAGCUCCGAUGGUAGUUCGUCUCAAGACGCGCGAGAGUAGGUCGCUGCCAGGC
rnacentral:rRNA from 1 species